rnacentral:lncRNA from 1 species
UCUAAAUAAAUUCUUUUCUUUGCAGGGCAGAAUCAGAGAAUCACAGAAUGGUUUGGGUUGGAAGAGACACUAAAGCCUACCCAGUGCCAACACCUUGCCGUGGGCAGGGCUGCCACCCACUGGGUCAGACUGCCCAGGGCCCCAUCCAACCUGGCCUUGAGGGCCUCCAGGCCUGAGGCACCCACAGCUUCUCUGGGCAGCCUGUGCCAAGGCCUCGCUGCCUUCUAAAUCUGUAUCAGAAUCUAUAUGCAUUCUUUAGACUUAUUUUUCUACCUGUUAACCAUGCAAUUCUUCUAUCUCAUUCUGUGUUAAUUGGCAGUAACAUCUACAGUCAUCUGAAACUUUUGAAAACAGACUAUUUCUCACAAGAAAUCAAAGUCUUCUUACUUCAUGUGGAAAAUCUUCUUACUUCAUGUGAAUACAGAUCAGUCAUGAUGGCAUUUCCUGGCUCAGAGAGGACCCUAGAACACUGCAGGAUAAGUGCUGUUUCCUGCACUGGCACACCCAACACUUUCUGCCAUGCCCCCAAGCCCAAGCAGGAUUUGUCUUUCAGAUGA